GACGAACGCUGGCGGCGUGCUUAACACAUGCAAGUCGAACGGAAAGGCCCUGCUUUUGUGGGGUGCUCGAGUGGCGAACGGGUGAGUAACACGUGAGUAACCUGCCCUUGACUUUGGGAUAACUUCAGGAAACUGGGGCUAAUACCGGAUAGGAGCUCCUGCUGCAUGGUGGGGGUUGGAAAGUUUCGGCGGUUGGGGAUGGACUCGCGGCUUAUCAGCUUGUUGGUGGGGUAGUGGCUUACCAAGGCUUUGACGGGUAGCCGGCCUGAGAGGGUGACCGGCCACAUUGGGACUGAGAUACGGCCCAGACUCCUACGGGAGGCAGCAGUGGGGAAUAUUGCACAAUGGGCGGAAGCCUGAUGCAGCAACGCCGCGUGCGGGAUGACGGCCUUCGGGUUGUAAACCGCUUUCGCCUGUGACGAAGCGUGAGUGACGGUAAUGGGUAAAGAAGCACCGGAUAACUACGUGC
rnacentral:rRNA from 1 species